CCCCCUCAGCCUCCCAAGGUGCUGGUAUUGUAAGUGUGAGCCACUGCGCCCGAGAAGUUAAUAUGAGAACUCUUCUAAGCAAAAUGAAGUAAAUCCUGUAAACCAAUGUUUCACUGUAAGAAUUGGGAAAAGCUGGAAAUUUAAAACUAUCAUAUUUUUAGGGGAUUUGGAGACCUGUAGAAUCAAAGAGAACUAGAUAAACUAAAAUGCCAGGGUUAAGAAAACUGUUUCAAGAUGAAUCACAAAUGGUCAGCCCAUCCUCCCGCACCCCCUACCCCUGUCCCACAUACACAUAACAGUUUAACAAAAAAAAAAAAAGAAAAUAUUUUGGAGGCUUUACUAUACAAAUUAUCUCAUAACCCAUGUUUUCCUCUGGCUAUGCAUCCAGCACCUUACGCAGAAGAUAAGGAAUCUCACCUGGUCCUAUCGCUCCACCUAGUGGCAACCAUUAGGAAGCAAUUUAACUGCCUUGCGACCAGCUAUAGAGGUUCGUUGGGAAUGAUGGGUUUGCUUUACUGUCUUGCCUUCCUCUUCUAGGAGAUCAUGAUUAGCAGCCUUAAAGAAGAGUCUGUGAUUAAUUAGACCUGAACCUCUCCUCACAGGAAACGAGUGAGAACAUUUUCGUUCCCAAGGGAUAAAAAGGAAUCCCAUAUUGUUUCUUGGGAGCUGGUAUGGGAGCUGAUGUCCAGAAAGGUCCGGAGACUGAAUGUGACCAUCCAGAAGUGAAGGACUUAGCUCCUCGGAGGCUAUAUGGAGGAAACAGCAGAGAAGGGCAAAUUUUAAAAGUGGGAGAAAACUGGUAUGCAUAUUUUCAACCAAGUGAAAACAUCAAGGAGGUUAAAGUAAUCAACUGGGUCAAACGCUGGUGAGAGGUCAAAUAAGGUAAGAUGAGGACUUGAAGCUGGUGACCAUACAUUUAAAGUGAAGUCAGUGGGUAUGGUGGGAUGUGUUUUGUUGUGGUGGUUGUUGUUG